rnacentral:rRNA from 1 species
GACGAACGCUGGCGGCGUGCUUAACACAUGCAAGUCGAACGGAAAGGCCCUGCUUUUGUGGGGUGCUCGAGUGGCGAACGGGUGAGUAACACGUGAGUAACCUGCCCUUGACUUUGGGAUAACUUCAGGAAACUGGGGCUAAUACCGGAUAGGAGCUCCUGCUGCAUGGUGGGGGUUGGAAAGUUUCGGCGGUUGGGGAUGGAUUCGCGGCUUAUCAGCUUGUUGGUGGGGUAGUGGCUUACCAAGGCUUUGACGGGUAGCCGGCCUGAGAGGGUGACCGGCCACAUUGGGACUGAGAUACGGCCCAGACUCCUACGGGAGGCAGCAGUGGGGAAUAUUGCACAAUGGGCGGAAGCCUGAUGCAGCAACGCCGCGUGCGGGAUGACGGCCUUCGGGUUGUAAACCGCUUUCGCCCGUGACGAAGCGUGAGUGACGGUAAUGGGUAAAGAAGCACCGGCUAACUACGUG